AGUGAACGCUGGCGGUAGGCCUAACACAUGCAAGUCGAACGGCAGCACCGUAAGAGCUUGCUCUUACGGGUGGCGAGUGGCGGACGGGUGAGGAAUACAUCGGAAUCUACUUUUUCGUGGGGGCUCACGUAGGGAAACUUACGCUAAUAUCGCAUACGACCUGCGGGUGAAAGCAGGGGAUCUUCGGACCUUGCGCGAUUGAAUGCGCCGAUGUCGGAUUAGCUAGUUGGCGGGGUAAAGGCCCACCAAGGCGACGAUCCGUAGCUGGUCUGAGAGGAUGAUCAGCCACACUGGAACUGAGACACGGUCCAGACUCCUACGGGAGGCAGCAGUGGGGAAUAUUGGACAAUGGACGCAAGCCUGAUCCAGCCAUACCGCGUGGGUGAAGAAGGCCUUCGGGUUGUAAAGCCCUUUUGUUGGGAAAGAAAAGCAGCAGGUUAAUACCCCGCUGUUCUGACGGUACCCAAAGAAUAAGCACCGGCUAACUUCGUG
rnacentral:rRNA from 1 species